rnacentral:misc_RNA from 1 species
AAGUCGUAACAAGGUUUCCGUAGGUGAACCUGCGGAAGGAUCAUUAACGAGAUCUGGGUUCCCAACUGGGGCCCGACCUUCCAACCCUUUGCGUACAGACCUUUUGUUGCCUCGGCGGGCCGUCGGUUUGCCGAAAGGCGCCGCCGUCGGCCGACUUGACUGUCGGCUCUCGAGCCUGCCCGCCGAUGGGAUAUAUGAAGAACUCUUUUUGAAACAAGAAAUCGAAAUCUGAAAUUGAAAUUAAUACUUCAAA